UACGGAAGGCAGCAGUGGGGAAUAUUGCACAAUGGGCGCAAGCCUGAUGCAGCCAUGCCGCGUGUAUGAAGAAGGCCUUCGGGUUGUAAAGUACUUUCAGCGGGGAGGAAGGCGAUGCGGUUAAUAACCGCGUCGAUUGACGUUACCCGCAGAAGAAGCACCGGCUAACUCCGUGCCAGCAGCCGCGGUAAUACGGAGGGUGCAAGCGUUAAUCGGAAUUACUGGGCGUAAAGCGCACGCAGGCGGUCUGUUAAGUCAGAUGUGAAAUCCCCGGGCUUAACCUGGGAACUGCAUUUUGAAACUGGCAGGCUUGAGUCUUGUAGAGGGGGUAGAAUUCCAGGUGUAGCGGUGAAAUGCGUAGAGAUCUGGAGGAAUACCGGUGGCGAAGGCGGCCCCUGGGACAAGACUGACGCUCAGGUGCGAAAGCGUGGGGAGCAAACAGGGAUUAGGAUACCCGGU
rnacentral:rRNA from 1 species